CAGUCGCCACGGUAAUACAGAGGGUGCGAGCGUUAAUCGGAUUUACUGGGCGUAAAGCGUGCGUAGGCGGCUUCUUAAGUCGGAUGUGAAAUCCCUGAGCUUAACUUAGGAAUUGCAUUCGAUACUGGGAAGCUAGAGUAUGGGAGAGGAUGGUAGAAUUCCAGGUGUAGCGGUGAAAUGCGUAGAGAUCUGGAGGAAUACCGAUGGCGAAGGCAUCCAUCUGGCCUAAUACUGACGCUGAGGUACGAAAGCAUGGGGAGCAAACAGGAUUAGAUACCCCCGUAGUCCCUGUCUCUUAUAC
rnacentral:rRNA from 1 species